rnacentral:lncRNA from 1 species
AAUUACGGGCAAUCUGUCGAAGAUUUAUGGUGAAGUAGAAAGCACGUGAAUCUUACUGUUCAGUCAUCCACUUUCCACACGCAACAUCAGCUCAUGGGUACCACAGAUAACUUUGUCAAAGAUCUCUGACAAAGUUUAGACACGUGAAGCUUGUAGCUCCCACUACAUUGCUAUGACCAAGAAGGGUAAAAGAAUAGCAAAGAAACAACACUAACAAAGUUUAGACACAAAUUUUGAAGGUUUAGCUACCAUAUUAUUACCCACAAGGGUAAAGGAACAACACCACUGCUGGAUAAUUGGAAAGUCCCUGUCUGUCAACCUCUGUGCUCCGUGGCAAGGUAGACUAGCAAAAAUGCCCAACCUUUACUCACAUUCGAGAAAACACUCCCAACAAGAUUGCUUGCUCCAAAAUCGAAGAGGCACCGACCUCCGAAUCUCGAGAGCCAGACUCCCAAUAGGAUUACUUUAUUAAAAAUCGAAGAGACACUGCUAUCCGAAUUUCAAGAGCCAGACUCCCAGCAUGAUUGCUUUCUCAAAGAUCGAAGAGACACCGUUCUC